UAUUGAAAAUUAAUAUAUCAUGUCUUUUAAAAUAACCAUACUACUUAAAUUCAGCUGUUUUAGUAUUUCCUAAACCUUUUUUAUUAACUUGAAAUAUGAAUUUGAAGGUGACCUGCAAAGUGUUUUGUUGGGGCCGGGGAGAGUUAUUUUUACCAUAAUUUUGUUGCUUUAUGAUGUGUAAAACACACAUGCCAUUCUGCUUCUUUUUUCAGUAGAAAUUCAGUCUUGUUUACCCUUUAUUUCUUGCAAGUUUUCAUAGACUACUAGAGAAGUGGUGUGACUAUUAUGAGUUUCUGAGCAACUGGUGGAUAAAAGGGUUUUAAGUCAUUUAAACCUGUUUUGUUAACACUUUAAAAAAGAUAGCAGCAAAAUCUUUGAAAUAUUCAAAUAUCUUGUCCCUUUCAGUUCAGGACUAAGAAAGCACUUAUUCCAGCUUUCCUGGUCUUCUAAGGAUUUGUCCAGUAAAAACAGGGGAGAGAACUUUGUAUCCCUGAUAUUUUUACAAUUUAAAACAAAGCAAAAUUUCUAAAAAAUAAAAUACACCUUUUCAGGCCCCAUUUAUAUGACAUAAAGAAGCAAAAAAGGGCACAAACCCAGCAAUCUUCCUUUGCAUGUCACCUAUAAAAUAAGCAUGGAGGCUUUCCUAUACUGCACUUCUGUUCCUCUGAGAUCUGCUCUUUUAUUAUUGAAGUGGAUCUGUGAUGAGAAAUAGCCAAAUCUGAGCACCAGUAGAUCACCUGGUUUACAUGGUGUAUGAUCUAUAUACAGUUCUGGGAAGCAAUAUAAUGGUUCCUGAGAAUGUGGUUGUGGGUGUGUGUGUGUGUGUGUGUGUGUAUGUAUGCAUGCAUGUGAGGAAAUUUUUGUACUGAGCAAUGAUGAACCUUUAUUUUGUCUGACUCUUCAAAUAAUGAAGGUUUCUACACUUGAACUGAGCUCAAAA